rnacentral:rRNA from 1 species
CUUGACAUAAUAAACAUAGGGGGUCCUGCCUGCCCAGUGGCUGAAAAGUUAAACGGCCGCGGUAUCUUGACCGUGCGAAGGUAGCAUAAUCAUUUGUCUCCUAAAUAGAGACUGGUAUGAAUGGCAAGACGGAGCUCCACUGUCUCCUCCUCUUUAAUCUGAACUUCACAUUCCCGUGAAGAGGCGGGAAUUAGUUCGUAAGACGAGAAGACCCUGUCGAGCUGUAGUUAAACUUUAAUUGUUACUCACCCUUAGGCCUAACUAAUAAUAUUAAAAAUAGUAGACCUUAAGGUAUAGCAAGUUAAAACAAGCUUUGAUUGGGGCAAUCCCGGAGAAAGAAAAUCCUCCGUUACUAUAUGGUUAUAUUUAAUCUAAAAUAAAAGAAUUAUUAUUCUUAAAGCAUAAAAAUGAAGACGUGAUCCACUUACAGUGAUCAAAAGAACAAG